rnacentral:rRNA from 1 species
AAUGAACGCUGGCGGCGUGCCUAACACAUGCAAGUCGGAUGUGCCGCAAGGUGCAUGGCAGACGGGUGAGUAACGCGUAGGGAAUCUACCUUUUUGUGGGGAAUAACGCUCCGAAAGGAGUGGUAAUACCGCAUGAGACCGUGGCCUGGGAUGGUUACGGUGAAACCUGGGGACCGCAAGGCCUGGGGCAAAAAGAGGAUCCUGCGUCUGAUUAGCUAGUUGGCGGGGUAAUGGCCCACCAAGGUGACGAUCAGUAGCCGGCCUGAGAGGGUGAUCGGCCACACUGGAACUGAGACACGGUCCAGACUCCUACGGGAGGCAGCAGUGGGAAUUUGCGCAAUGGACGAAAGUCUGUCGCAGCAACGCCGCGUGGGUGAUGAAGGUCUUCGG